UACGUAGGGUGCGAGCGUUAAUCGGAAUUACUGGGCGUAAAGCGUGCGCAGGCGGUCUGUUAAGACCGAUGUGAAAUCCCCGGGCUUAACCUGGGAACUGCGCUUGUAACUGGCAAGCUUGAGUGUGGCAGAGGGGGGUGGAAUUCCGCGUGUAGCAGUGAAAUGCGUAGAUAUGCGGAGGAACACCGAUGGCGAAGGCAAUCCCCUGGGCCUGCACUGACGCUCAUGCACGAAAGCGUGGGGAGCAAACAGG
rnacentral:rRNA from 1 species